rnacentral:rRNA from 1 species
GACGAACGCUGGCGGCGUGCUUAACACAUGCAAGUCGAACGGAAAGGCCCUGCUUUUGUGGGGUGCUCGAGUGGCGAACGGGUGAGUAACACGUGAGUAACCUGCCCUUGACUUUGGGAUAACUUCAGGGAACUGGGGCUAAUACCGGAUAGGAGCUCCUGCUGCAUGGUGGGGGUUGGAAAGUUUCGGCGGUUGGGGAUGGACUCGCGGCUUAUCAGCUUGUUGGUGGGGUAGUGGCUUACCAAGGCUUUGACGGGUAGCCGGCCUGAGAGGGUGACCGGCCACAUUGGGACUGAGAUACGGCCCAGACUCCUACGGGAGGCAGCAGUGGGGAAUAUUGCACAAUGGGCGGAAGCCUGAUGCAGCAACGCCGCGUGCGGGAUGACGGCCUUCGGGUUGUAAACCGCUUUCGCCUGUGACGAAGCGUGAGUGACGGUAAUGGGUAAAGAAGCACCGGCUAACUACGUGCCAGCAGCCGCGGUGAUACGUAGGGUGCGAGCGUUGUCCGGAUUUAUUGGGCGUAAAGGGCUCGUAGGUGGUUGAUCGCGUCGGAAGUGUAAUCUUGGGGCUUAACCCUGAGCGUGCUUUCGAUACGGGUUGACUUGAGGAAGGUAGGGGAGAAUGGAAUUCCUGGUGGAGCGGUGGAAUGCGCAGAUAUCAGGAGGAACACCAGUGGCGAAGGCGGUUCUCUGGGCCUUUCCUGACGCUGAGGAGCGAAAGCGUGGGGAGCGAACAGGCUUAGAUACCCUGGUAGUCCACGCUGUAAACGGUGGGUACUAGGUGUGGGGUCCAUUCCACGGGUUCCGUGCCGUAGCUAACGCUUUAAGUACCCCGCCUGGGGAGUACGGCCGCAAGGCUAAAACUCAAAGGAAUUGACGGGGCCCCGCACAAGCGGCGGAGCAUGCGGAUUAAUUCGAUGCAACGCGUAGAACCUUACCUGGGUUUGACAUGGAUCGGGAGCGCUCAGAGAUGGGUGUGCCUCUUUUGGGGUCGGUUCACAGGUGGUGCAUGGCUGUCGUCAGCUCGUGUCGUGAGAUGUUGGGUUAAGUCCCGCAACGAGCGCAACCCUUGUUCACUGUUGCCAGCACGUUAUGGUGGGGACUCAGUGGAGACCGCCGGGGUCAACUCGGGGGAAGGUGGGGAUGACGUCAAGUCAUCAUGCCCCUUAUGUCCAGGGCUUCACGCAUGCUACAAUGGCUGGUACAGAGAGUGGCGAGCCUGUGAGGGUGAGCGAAUCUCGGAAAGCCGGUCUCAGUUCGGAUUGGGGUCUGCAACUCGACCUCAUGAAGUCGGAGUCGCUAGUAAUCGCAGAUCAGCAACGCUGCGGUGAAUACGUUCCCGGG